ACCAGCAGGCAAGGGGCAGGAUGGAGCUGUACAAACCUCUGCUAAUGCAAAGGAGGACUGACUCUGCAAUCGCUGCUACGUGAGAGGAUUGGAAAUGGAGAGGCAAUUUCUACUCCAGAGCCAUGGUGACUGGCUUCUUCAGAGAAGAGAGGGGAGAUCUCCCCCAUAGGCAGUUACAGGAAUACUUUCCCCAGGGAGCUGAUCCUCACUACAGGUAAAUGAAUUUCACUCAAGUGGGUGUCACUACCUAGAGGAGAUGGAAAGAUCAAGACACUGUGUUAAAUGGAAUUACUCGAGAGGACAAGGCAAAAGGAAAACACAUGAGUGUAUUACUUGUAGAUAAAUAAAUUACUGAGACCUGAAAA